rnacentral:lncRNA from 1 species
UGAAUUGAGCUCCUAUGCUUUUAAACGUACCAAGUCAUUGAUGCUUGUAAGUUUUCAGCCCUUGGAUUAAGGAAUGUGCGGUUAGGAAGAUGUGAGCCCCCUAGGGUUGAAUGGGUGGUUGGUUGAAUAGUAUAAUCUAACGAAUAAAAAUGAUCAAAGGCGUAAAUCUAACGGUAAAAAAUUUACAAGCACCAAGUGCUUGGUGCUUUUACAAGCACCAUAGCCGGACUCAUAUAUAUAUUUAUAUAUAGAGACGAAGCUAGGAUUCAAUCUUGAGGGGGACCAAAAUAUAUUUAAAUAAAAACUUUAGUAAUAAAUAAUAAACAAAAUUUUUCCUAAUUAAAAAAUUUUUAUUAAAAAAUUAUUAAUUAAAUAAAUAA